rnacentral:lncRNA from 1 species
AAUUGUUUAACAAAAAAAUGACAUUUUUAAAACAUGUUGAGUUAUUAUUUUGUAGACUGGCGUAAUAUGAAUAUACUCUCAUACUCUAGUUUGACUACACUAUUUUAUUAGUGUAGACGUAGAUUUAAACUUUGACGGUAGGAAAUACAACACCGAUUAUUAGAGGUUACAGGCGCAUUACGUAAGAAUGUAUAUUUAUUGUGAUUAAGAACGCUGGUGUAUCAUAUAUGAGCACGUGACUUGUUUCAAAGAAGAAAUCGAUGAGAUUUACAGAGAUUAUAAUGUCAGUGGGAAAUUUAGACACUCACCGUCCUACGCGAUUCAUUCUAUGAUGUUCUUUCUCUGUUAUGUGUGUUGUAUUGUUUUGUUUGAUACUGAACAUUACACAGGCCAAGCUGUAAUUGCAAUAAUGAAUAAAUUCAUUAAUCGAAUCCAAGUACGUCGAGCAAAAAGUUUGUCCUGGUUGGAAACAAUUUAAUUAACAUCUGGCGAAGCUUAAAGCAAGAUGCAAGGGUAUUAUGGACGUAUAUGGUACCAACUAAUUUUAGUGAAAUUGAGAUUCAAAAUAAUGAUAAAAGUAAAAUUUUAUUUUUUU